rnacentral:tRNA from 1 species
CAAGGCGUAGCUAUAACAUACAAAGCAUCCAGCUUACACCUGGAAGAUAUCUGUAUCCAGCCAGAUCGCCUUGA